rnacentral:lncRNA from 7 species
CAAGUGCGGAGGAUGGAGCCAAUGGAAUGGAGAACAGAUCUGCAGAUCCUCCAAGUACAGGGUGACAGCGCAAUCCAGUGGCCAGAUUUUCGAAUGGUGAAUGCAGCGGCAAUGGGGAGCCUAUUAUAUAUAUAUACAGAAGAAAAGCUCAAAACUUUUCGUGUAAAAUUUGGCGAACUGGUAUAAACAUGACAGAAUAAAUCUAGUGAGAUCACUUUGAGUGGGUAAAGGCCUUUUUGAUUGAAGGCGUGGCCUAUUUAUUUGCAUGGCAAAAACCGUUGCAUGAGAGUUACGACGCUGAAUUGAUGAC